rnacentral:rRNA from 1 species
CAGGACGAACGCUGGCGGCGUGCCUAAUACAUGCAAGUCGAACGCUUUUCUUCGCCGGAGCUGCUACCACCGAAAGAAAAGGAGUGGCGAACGGGUGAGUAACACGUGGGUAACCUGCCCAUCAGAAGGGGGAUAACACUUGGAAACAGGUGCUAAUACCGUAUAACAAUCGAAACCGCAUGGUUUCGGUUUGAAAGGCGCUUUUGCGUCACUGAUGGAUGGACCCGCGGUGCAUUAGCUAGUUGGUGAGGUAACGGCUCACCAAGGCAACGAUGCAUAGCCGACCUGAGAGGGUGAUCGGCCACAUUGGGACUGAGACACGGCCCAAACUCCUACGGGAGGCAGCAGUAGGGAAUCUUCGGCAAUGGACGCAAGUCUGACCGAGCAACGCCGCGUGAGUGAAGAAGGUUUUCGGAUCGUAAAACUCUGUUGUUAGAGAAGAACAAGGAUGAGAGUAGAAUGUUCAUCCCUUGACGGUAUCUAACCAGAAAGCCACGGCUAACUACGUGCCAGCCGCCGC